CAACCGCACCGUGCCUCUGCUACAAAUACUCCGGGAUAAAAACUUCAGUACUUCAAUUUCUCAUCCAUCCUUUCGUAUACUUUACCAAUUCCAUUGCCAAAAGUCCAGAGCUGGUCAGAGGGUCACAUGGACAGGGACUCAUAUGAUUGUCAUUUCCAAUAAACAUACUAGUAUCCAGCUCACUAUCCCAUCUUGCAAUAAGGAAAGAACUGGUUUCGUCACUCAUCCAACUCAGCACACAUAGCUAUAUCAGUAGCUAAUUCAUUGUUUCGUUCAAACGACAGACAACUUACAGUACAUAUCUACUUCUUCAUACCAAUCUCCCUGAGUCUAUAUUUAUUGCCAGAUAUUCGCUUCCACGCUGAUCCGGAAGAUAUCCAGCACCUCCCUAACCAGCAUCCAAUAUAACAACGCCGAAAAUGUCCUACGCCAAAGCAGUCUCCCGGGGUGCCCAACAAUCUCCUCAAGAGGUACUGCGGCACCCCAACCUCGUGAAGUUGAAGUCACCGAAGCUGAACCUGCAACAUCCUCUCUAAUCGAUGUCGACUCCCCGCACAUCUCCUCUGUUCCCCCCACCUACGAGUCUCAGCGUAUAAAAACAAACACCCAAGCCGAGCGCAUCGAGCGCGAGGGCGAGGAGAAACAGCGGCGCGAGCAAGCCGAAAGAGAAGCCAAACGCGCCGCAGCAAGAGACGCCAAGGGGAAAGCGAAAGCCGUAAAGAAUAAAGCAGCGUCCGCCAAGUUGUCCCUUCUCCGGAACAGUUCAAAUCCCGUCCUUUUGGGAAACGCGAUGUUGAUGGCUAUUGCGGGCGCCGGGUUGGGAUUUAGUGCAUAUCGCUGGCAUUCUCGGGGUGCGUUAACGUGGAAUAUACUGGGGCUGUGGUCUAGCGCAGUAGGUGCGCUUGGAUUUGUGGAUUAUUAUGUUAGCAAAUGGUUCCUGCAAAAUAAGUAUCCGCUAAAGUGAAAUGCUCGACUCUGCACCCGAUCGGAUGAUUCAUGUCUGGCUGUCAACUCGUAGCACGUAUUCUCAGCACACAUGCACGAACAUCUCCUGUUCUGUCAUUUCGAGUCUGAUUGACUUUUUUUUUGUGUUUUGGAGUUAGUUGAGACGAUUGUUUUGGAUUUUGAAUCAUUGGUUUGGUGGUUUUCAUUUGGCUCUCGCUCCUGAACAACAUCUCCUUCUUAGCAGUAGGUUGUAUCAUCCACUUCAUUGCUGUGAUAAUUCAUAGUAGCUAGUUUAGUGCUGUAGGUUACUACUUAGUCAAUCUUAAUAUCGUCAGCCAAACA
rnacentral:sRNA from 1 species